CCGGNGGCGAAAGCGGCUCUCUGGUCUGUAACUGACGCUGAGGCUCGAAAGCGUGGGGAGCGAACAGGAUNAGAUACCCUGGUAGUCCACGCCGUAAACGAUGAGUGCUAGGUGUUAGGUCCUUUCCGGGACUUAGUGCCGCAGCUAACGCAUUAAGCANUCCGCCUGGGGAGUACGACCGCAAGGUUGAAACUCAAAGGAAUUGACGGGGGCCCGCACAAGCGGUGGAGCAUGUGGUUUAAUUCGAAGCAACGCGAAGAACCUUACCAGGUCUUGACAUCCCGAUGCCCGCUCUAGAGAUAGAGCUUUACUUCGGUACAUCGGUGACAGGUGGUGCAUGGUUGUCGUCAGCUCGUGUCGUGAGAUGUUGGGUUAANUCNCGCAACGAGCGCAACCCUUAUUGUUAGUUGCCAUCAUUCAGUUGGGCACUCUAGCGAGACUGCCGGUAAUAAACCGGAGGAAGGUGGGGAUGACGUCAAAUCAUCAUGCCCCUUAUGACCUGGGCUACACACGUGCUACAAUGGCUGGUACAACGAGUCGCAAGCCGGUGACGGCAAGCUAAUCUCUGAAAGCCAGUCUCAGUUCGGAUUGUAGGCUGCAACUCGCCUACAUGAAGUCGGAAUCGCUAGUAAUCGCGGAUCAGCACGCCGCGGUGAAUACGUUCCCGGGCCU
rnacentral:rRNA from 1 species